rnacentral:rRNA from 1 species
GGAGUCUGGUCCGUGUCUCAGUACCAGUGUGGGGGACCUUCCUCUCAGAACCCCUACCGAUCGAUGCCCCGGUGGGCCGUUACCCCGCCUACUACCUAAUCAGACGCAUCCCCAUCCCAUAGCGAUAAAUCUUUGGUAUUACUCAGAUGUCCUCAUAAUACAACAUAGGGCAUUAAUCCGACUUUCGCCGGGCUAUUCUCUACUAUGGGGAAGGUUGGAUACGCGUUACUCACCCGUGCGCCGGUCGCCAUCAAUCAAAGCAAGCUUUGAUCAUGCUGCCCCUCGACUUGCAUGUGUUAAGCCUGUAGCUAGCGUUCAUC